UACGUAGGGGGCAAGCGUUGUUCGGAAUUACUGGGCGUAAAGCGCGUGUAGGCGGUCUGGCAAGUCAGAUGUGAAAGCCCCGGGCUCAACUUGGGAACUGCAUUUGAUACUGCCAAGCUAGAGUACAGAAGAGGUGACUGGAAUUCCCAGUGUAGCGGUGAAAUGCGUAGAUAUUGGGAGGAACACCAGAUGCGAAGGCGGGUCACUGGGCUGAUACUGACGCUGAAAUACGAAAGCGUGGGGAGCAAACAGG
rnacentral:rRNA from 1 species